GUGCCAGCAGCCGUGGUAACACGUAGGGCGCAAGCGUUAUCCAGAUUUACUGGGCGUAAAGCGCGUGUAGGCGGCUGGUUAGGUGUGAUGUGAAAUCUUCGGGCUCAACCCGAAAACUGCAUUGCAAACCGGCCUGGGUAGAGUGCAGGAGAGGGAAGCGGAAUUCCAGGUGUAGCGGUGAAAUGCGUAGAUAUCAGGAGGAACACCGGUGGCGAAGGCGGUUCUCUGGGCCUGACCUGACGCUGAGGAGCGAAAGCGUGGGGAGCGAACAGGAUUAGAAACCCGAGUAGUCC
rnacentral:rRNA from 1 species